rnacentral:rRNA from 1 species
GUGACCUCAAAUCAGGUAGGACUACCCGCUGAACUUAAGCAUAUCAAUAAGCGGAGGAAAAGAAACUAACAAGGAUUCCCCUAGUAACUGCGAGUGAAGCGGGAAAAGCUCAAAUUUAAAAUCUGGCGGUCUUUUGGCUGUCCGAGUUGUAAUCUAGAGAAGUGUUAUCCGCGCUGGACCGUGUACAAGUCUCCUGGAAUGGAGCAUCAUAGAGGGUGAGAAUCCCGUCUUUGACAUGGACUGCCAGGGCUUUGUGAUGCGCUCUCAAAGAGUCGAGUUGUUUGGGAAUGCAGCUCAAAAUGGGUGGUAAAUUCCAUCUAAAGCUAAAUAUUGGCGAGAGACCGAUAGCGAACAAGUACCGUGAGGGAAAGAUGAAAAGAACUUUGGAAAGAGAGUUAAACAGUACGUGAAAUUGCUGAAAGGGAAACGCUUGAAGUCAGUCACGUUGUCCAGGGAUCAACCUUGCUUUUGCUUGGUGCACUUUCUGGUUCGACGGGUCAGCAUCAAUUUCGAUCGUUGGAAAAAGGCCAAGGGAAUGUGGCAUCUUUGGAUGUGUUAUAGCCCUUUGUCACAUACAAUGGUUGGGAUUGAGGAACUCAGCACGCCGCAAGGCCGGGUUUUAAACCACGUACGUGCUUAGGAUGCUGGCAAUAUGGCUUUAAUCGACCCGUC